UGUGAAGGGGAGAAAUGAGGAGAGAAGAGAGUGAAAUGGCCAUAUAGACCAUCAAGUGCAACAAAAUCCAGAAAAGCCCCUCAAAAACUCAAAUUCACUUCAGCCCGGUCUGGGAAGUUUUCGCCAAGAGGGACCGCUCUCCCCGACUUGGGACCGGUCUCUCAGCCUGCCCCGAAAAUCCAACGUUCGGGAACCGGUCUCUCCCCGCACGGGACCGGUCUCUCCCCGCGUAGACGCGCUCGGGGACCGGUCUCGCCUGCCAGGGACCGGUUGCCUCGCCAGCUGCCGCAACACUGUGCUGAGGGGACCGGUCUCUCAUAUCGGGACCGGUCCCCGAUAGUGAAAACUCUCAGGACUUGCCAAAACUCUAGAGAUCGAACUUUUAGGCCAGAAUACCAUCGACGGCCCUCCACCAAGUGUGGAAAAGUUCGGAAUACAUACCAAACACUCGAACCUCGCAAUUUGCAAAGGUCCAGUGUGCUAGACUGGUCGACAU
rnacentral:lncRNA from 1 species